UGGGGAAUUUUGGACAAUGGGCGAAAGCCUGAUCCAGCAAUGCCGCGUGUGUGAAGAAGGCCUUCGGGUUGUAAAGCACUUUUGUCCGGAAAGAAAUCCUUGGCUCUAAUACAGUCGGGGGAUGACGGUACCGGAAGAAUAAGCACCGGCUAACUACGUGCCAGCAGCCGCGGUAAUACGUAGGGUGCAAGCGUUAAUCGGAAUUACUGGGCGUAAGCGUGCGCAGGCGGUUUGCUAAGACCGAUGUGAAAUCCCCGGGCUCAACCUGGGAACUGCAUUGGUGACUGGCAGGCUAGAGUAUGGCAGAGGGGGGUAGAAUUCCACGUGUAGCAGUGAAAUGCGUAGAGAUGUGGAGGAAUACCGAUGGCGAAGGCAGCCCCCUGGGCCAAUACUGACGCUCAUGCACGAAAGCGUGGGGAGCAAACAGGAUUAGAUACCCUGGUAGUCCACGCCCUAAACGAUGUCAACUAGUUGUGGGGAUUCAUUUCCUUAGUAACGUAGCUAACGCGUGAAGUUGACCGCCUGGGGAGUACGGUCGCAAGAUUAAAACUCAAAGGAAUUGACGGGGUCAUAGCUGUUUCC
rnacentral:rRNA from 1 species